ACUGGGGACCUAAACGUAAUUAAACCCUAGACACCGGGGCUAGCACGUGAAAACACGCGGCAUGGACUGCGGCCGCUAAUUACAGGAAGCUCAGGGGCCUAAAAGCAUAAAACAGGACCUAUCUGUCACACCCGAUUUAUAAGAACGUAAAUCGAGCAAUCAUAUAUGCGCCAGGAUCAAGUCACGCAUAUAUACAACAGAUUAUCAAGAUAUCACAACACAUGCCAUGAAUAAAAGCGUAUAAAUUAAUAAAUGAAUAUCUUUAUUACAACUGAAUCAAGAAUCAGUUCAAGGAAUGCGGAAGCGUAAAAUGAAUACAUGAAGAGCUGGGCGCCACAGGGACGUCGACUGGGAGACAAACGCCUAGAAGUCAUCGAAGCCGCUGACGUAGUCCUCCACGUUGCCGGGCACUGAGCAGCAGUCGAAGAUAUCCAAAAUAGAACAGAAGAGUAGAGAGGCAAGUGUGAGUACAAACUCGUACUCAACAAGUAUAACACGAGCAUGAGGCUCUAAGGUUAGCUGACUCAACUGCAUUAGCUUUUAACCUUGGCAAAUUUUAUUAAAGCUAAUUACUACAAGUGGAUGAGUUACCGUAACCCAAAUUGCAUAAGAAUUAAUCAAUAUUAAUUAAGAACUACUGAGAACCAUCCAAACCAAAACCACCCGGGGAAUCGCCCUCGUCAAAGGUUGAUAACCCCACUAAUCAAAAGGAGGAUCUGGGCCGCUCAUGACUGUGAGCACAGCUGAUAUAUCAGUUUUACACUCUCGAGAGGUUGCACAACUUUACCCACAAGUCGUGAGCUACGCUAGUUGUUCAUCACACUUCCUUAGGUGAGAUGGCUAGCAAGCACACUACGAGACCGUUACAAAGGAUCACGUUGGUAAGGUGUAACCGCUAAGGAUUCUGGAUCAGCGACGAUGGGGCCCACCUCCGGGGGUACAAGACACACAGCACAGACCAAGCCGGAGGAGCAGGGACCAUUGAAGCCUACCACCCCUCUUGCCCACGCAGGUAAGUUACUCCCGAACCAAAAUGACCUAAUUAGUAAGUCAAGACCGUCCCAUACCAGUCUUGUGGUUGCGCGGUUGUCCCAGGUUGUCGCUCUAUGAACCGGUCCUUAUGGAGAGUGGCCAACCAAGCACUAAGCACCGUGCUGGCCCCCUAAACCAGGUUUCUAACAAAAACAUCUUUUAAGGACGCACAAACCACUCAAGCACACAGCACAGAGGGUCGGCUCCAGAAUUAAGUUGCAUAAGACCAUUAAUCAAAUUAAUUAAAAAGGACCAAGUGUGUUAUAGCGCAGCAACCUAGCACAACUAACCACAAUGCAACCCAAAGGAUAUAUAUAUAGGAUAUAAAGUGGCUAGGAAAUCCUUAUAGGCAUACAGAAUUUAAAUGCAGUAUGAAAUUGUAUUUAAAAGUGAUAGGAGGUUCAUGCUAUACUUGCCUUCCUCGUACUCUCCCGGCUGCUGCUCAAACUGCUCGGAAGACGGCUGCUCCUGGUACUGGUCCAAAGGCUCCGCGUCUACUCACGAUCAUCAAACAUAGUCCACACAUACACACAUGCACAAACAAUAGCAAACUAUAAGAAAACAGUACACCAAUACAAUAGAACAGCACAUGAAACUAGCCUAGAGCUAUCCUACGCGUUACAACGAUCGCGUGCACAUAAAGAACACCUAAAACGGAGCUAAAACGCGAAAACUGCGCUUAAAACAGGAUCCAGGGACCUAAUUGUAAGAAAAACAGCACUUCCAGGGGCUUCUGGACAAAAACCGAGGACUAAAACGUAAAUAAAGCAUAGACUCAGGGGCUAGCACGUGAAAAGGCAUGGCUUGGACGGCGGGUUCAAAAUCCAGAGAAGCCAGGGGGUCAAACGGGAAGAAAAGGACCUGCCUGUAAUUUAUUUUUGAACUAAUAGGACUGCGGGUUGAUUUCCCCAAAAGGCAGGGGCUCUUUAGCAAAAAGGCUAGCUGAAAGGGUAUGAUUUAAUCUGGGCCCUCGGAUCAGAUCUGUGCGGCCCAGAUUAGAACCCAUACGCGAAGGGGUACGAGAUGAUCUCAGCCUUUGGAUCGAGAUCGGACGGUCGGGAACGGAUCUAGGUUUACAACUCGCGCGAUCCACCGGAUUUGAAUUGGACGGCUGAGAUUAGAUCUAUUAACCGAAGGGGUAUCCAUGGAUCUGGACGCUUGGAUUUGGAUCUGACGGCGCGAGCGAAAUGGUACGCGGGUUCUGAUCUGACCCGUUGAUCGCGGAUCGGACGGCUGGAAACAGAAGGGGACGCGGCUGGUGGCGCUGCUCGCCGGAGAGCGGUCUCCGCGGCGGCGCCUCGCCGGAGACACGCGAUCACACGUUCCCGGGGGCAUUUCACGACGAGAUCAAGCCUAGGGGGUAGAGCACAACGCGGGAAACCCAUCUAGGCGCUCCAGAAGGUGAGAUAGGGCUCGGGUAGAGGAUUCCCGCGGCAAGGGUGGCUCGGGGCGGCGGUCACGCCGGCGUGCGCGCGUUCCGGGUGCCACAGGCUGCUAAGGACUAAGGGAUCCGGCGCACAAGCACCUGGGGAAGGAGGGGAGGCUCACCAGAGGGUUGAAGAGGCCGGAACUGCAGUGGCAGUUGGAGGAGAACGACGGCGACCGGCGGCGAGAAGGCUCGGCUCUCGCGGAGGGAGGUGGUGCCGGGGCUCGGGGGUUGACGCAGGGCCCUGAACAGCUACCUGAUGACGAGGUGGAGCUACCGCAGCUCUCGGCUUGGGCUGGGAGCCACCGGAGCUGUGGAUUUGCGGCGGAGCAGAGGUGGAGGAACGCGGCGGCGCAGAGGCUCGGGACGAGCGGGGCGCUAGGGUUAGAGGCGGCGCUGGUGGGGAUAGGUUCAAAGGAGGUCGCGGGGGAAUAAGAGGAGCAGGCGAGAGGUCCCGGGGUAGGGUUACGGCGGGGAGGGCCGGGGAUCUCGGCCGUGCCGUUGCGCGGCCGUUACGCCGGGGAAGGAAGAGAAGAGGGGGAACAGAGCGCUGACACGCCGGGACCAGCGGUCAGUGGGAGAGAGAGGGGAGGGCGCGCGAGCGGGAUGAGGAAGCGGCGCCGACACGCGGGCCCGGGUAAUCAGACAGAGAGAGGAGGGAAGGGGCGCUCGGGCUGGGAAAAGAAAGGAGACGGGCCGGCUGCUGGGCCGUGCGGGGAGGGGAGAGAGGGAAGGGCGCUGGGCCUCGAGUGGCCCAUGCGGGAAAGGAAGAGGGGGCCCGGGAUGGAAAGGGGAGAGAGGAGGGGAGGAGUGCUGGGCUGGGCUGCUGUUGGGUUGGCUUCUUUUAUCCUUUCUCUUUCUUUUCUACACUCAAACAUCCAAACAAACUCAUUUGAAUUCAAAUAAAUUUUGAAUUCGAGUCCUAUAAACUCAACACAAGCAAAAAUAGUGCUCCAGCAUGAGUGCACAUACAUGUUGACCUUAUGUUAAAUUUUAUUUUCUUGCGUUGUAAAUUGCUUUAAAUGCCACAAAAAUUAAAGAAAAGCUUAGAAAAUUUAUUUAAGCCCACAUAAAUUCCUCAAAAUUUAGGAAAAUUACCUUAGGGUGUUACAAACCUACCCCCCUUACAGGAAUCUCGUCCCGAGAUUCGGAUAGGCUAGCUAGCAAAGAGAUCGGGGUAUGUCUUCCUCAGCUCGUCUUCUCGCUCCCAAGUAGCCUCAUCCUCCGUGUGAUGACUCCACUGGACUCGGCACAUCUUGAUCUUCUUAUUUCGGGUGACUCUCUCAGAUAUCUCCAAUAUCUUCACCGGAUGCUCGACAUAGGUCAGAUCCUCCUGCACAUCCAGCCCUUCUAUCGGUGCUUGCUCUUCUGGCACUCUCAAGCACUUCUUCAGCUGUGACAUGUGAAACACAUCGUGCACUCCUGAGAGAUUGAGUGGCAACUCCAGACGAUAUGCCACCUCACCUUUCCGUUCCAGCACCUUGAACGGACCAAUGUAUCGAGGAGCUAGCUUCCCUCUUACAUUAAACCUGCGGAUUCCUCUCAUCGGCGAGACCUUCAGAUAUACAUGAUCACCCACUGCGAAGGUCAAAUCUCGACGACGAACAUCCGCAUAACUCUUCUGACGAGUCUGAGCGACCCUCAGAUUCUCUCGCACCUGCUGUACCAACUGUUCUGCCUCUUCAACAAUAUCUGGACCAAAUACCUGCUUCUCACCAAUCUGAUCCCAAUACAACGGAGUCCUGCAUUUCCGACCAUACAGGGCCUCAAACGGGGACUUCUUCAGACUAGCCUGAUAACUGUUGUUAUAAGAAAACUCUGCAUACGGCAGGCAUUUAUCCCAGCUGGUACCAUACUGAAUAGCGCAGGCUCGAAGCAUAUCCUCCAACACUUGGUUGGUUCUCUCUGUCUGUCCAUCUGUCUGAGGAUGAUAAGCAGUACUGAAGCGCAGCUUCGUAUCCAACGAAUCAUGCAACUGCUCCCAGAACCGUGAAGUGAACUGAGAUCCUCGAUCAGAUAUAAUCUUCUUCGGAACACCAUGCAGACAGACAAUCCUGGAGAUGUACAACUCUGCGAGUCUAGCACCGGAGUAAGUAGUGUUCACCGGGAUGAAGUGAGCAACUUUCGUCAACCGAUCCACUACUACCCAUAUGGAGUUGUACCCUUUCUGAGUACGAGGCAAGCCAACGAUGAAGUCCAUAGUGAUCUCCUCCCAUUUCCACUCUGGAAUCUUCAACGGCUGCAAUAACCCUGCUGGCCUCUGAUGCUCUGCCUUGACACGCUGACAAGUGUCGCAGAUAGCCACGUACUCCGCAACGGAACGCUUCAUUCCAGACCACCAGAAUCGUUCCUUCAGGUCGUAAUACAUCUUCGUGCUACCUGGAUGGAUAGAAUAUGCUGUAUCAUGAGCCUCACUCAGAAUCAGCUUCCUGAGAUCUGCUACGUCCGGCACACAUAUACGACCCUUGUACCACAAGGUACCCUGAUUAUCCUCUCUGAAAUGAGGGGCCUUGCCAAUCUUGAGCAACUCACGAAUCUCCUGCAGCUUCUGAUCCUCCUUCUGAUGCUGCCUAAUCUCAGCCUCUAGAGUGGGUUCUGCCUCGAACGAUGUACCCGAGGUAUGAUGCAAGAAACCCAGACUCAACUGCUCAAACUCCUCGCAUAACUCCUGAGGCAUCUGAAAAGCCACGGCCAUGUUAACAUAGCUCUUCCUGCUCAGAGCGUCUGCUACAACAUUGGCCUUGCCCGGAUGAUAGUGAAUCUCCAGGUCAUAAUCCUUGACCAACUCUAGCCAUCUUCUCUGUCGCAUAUUCAACUCACUCUGAGUGAAAAUAUACUUGAGGCUCUUGUGAUCGGUGUAAAUAUCACACCUCUGCCCAAACAAGUAAUGCCUCCAUAUCUUCAGAGCAUGCACAACUGCGGCUAACUCCAGAUCAUGAGUGGGAUAAUUCAGCUCGUGCCGGCGCAACUGCCGCGAAGCAUAAGCUAUCACUCUGCCUUCCUGCAUCAGAACGCAACCAAGACCAUCUCUCGAAGCAUCACAAUACACUGUGAACCUCUUGCUCUGAUCUGGCAGAGUAAGGACUGGCGCCGUAGUCAACCUCUUCUUCAGCUCCUCGAAGGCACUCUGACGCUCAUCAGUCCAAGAGAAACCCACAUCCUUCUCCAGCAAGGAAGUCAAAGGCUUCGCAAUCUUGGAGAAAUUCUCGAUGAACCUCCGAUAAUAACCUGCUAAGCCCAGAAAAGAGCGGACUUCCUUCACUGUCUGUGGUACAACCCAGUCAAGCACAUCCUUCACCUUCCCGGGGUCCACAGCAAUACCUCCCUUGGAGAUAACAUGACCGAGGAACGGAACCUCGUCAAUCCAAAACUCGCAUUUGCUAAGCUUGGCAUACAGCUUGUGCUCUCUGAGCCUCUGCAACACAAGCCUGAUAUGCUCCUCAUGCUCCGCUUCCGACUUGGAAUAUAUCAGGAUAUCAUCAAUGAAUAUCACCACAAAGGUGUCCAGAUAAUCCAUGAAAACCUUGUUCAUCAGAUGCAUGAAGAAAGCCGGAGCAUUAGUCAAGCCGAAGGACAUGACCGUAUACUCGUAUAACCCAUACUUGCAGGUGAAUGCCGUCUUCUGAAUAUCCUCAGGACGAAUCUUCAGCUGAUGAUAACCCGAACGCAGAUCAAUCUUCGAGAAUACACAAGCACCCUGGAGCUGAUCAAAGAGAUCCUCAAUACGGGGCAAUGGAUGCUUGUUCUUGAUAGUGACUGCAUUCAGAUCCCGAUAAUCGACGCACAUCCUCUUCGCACCAUCCUUCUUCUCUACAAGUAAUACAGGAAAAGCCCAAGGAGAGAAACUGCGACGGAUAUAACCCUUAGCUAGCAACUCGUCAACAGUCUUCUUAACCUCCUCAUGCUCGACAGGAGCCAUACGAUAGGGCCUCUUAGCAAUAGGAGCUGUGCCAGGCAAGAGAUCAAUGGAAAACUCAAUGUCGCGAUCAGGCGGCAUACCUGGCAAAUCGUUCGGAAAGACAUCCGGGAAUUCAGACACCACGCGAAUACCAUUCGUGGGUCUAGCCUCCAUCUGAUGAAGAAAUCCAGAAGGCUCUGUGGCACCAACAGUGACCUCCUGACCAUCCGGUGCUGACAGAAGAACUGUCCUCUGAGCACAAUCUAUCCGGACUCCCCACUUAGCAAGAGUCUCCAUCCCGAGGAUCACAUCAAUACCCUUGGUGUCUAGCACCAUCAGAUUCGCACUGAAAUCUACCCCCCUUAUGGCCACACUGACUCUGGGACAGAAGACAUGAGACCUCAACUGUCCUCCCGGUGAAGAUACUAACAUGCACCUCUUUAACGUGCUAGUAGGAAUGCCAUGACGCUCAACAAAAGACUGGGUGAUGAAAGAAUGCGUAGCACCAGUAUCAAAAAGCACUGUAGCAGGAUGGGCAUUAACCAUGAACGUACCAAUAACCACGUUGGGAGCCUCGGCCGCUGACUCGGCCGUCACGUGGUUCACCCUGCCCUGAGCUGGGGCCUUGGGCUGUGCUGCACGGCCCUGCUGCCCUGCCUGCACCUUCCGAGGACAGACGUUGGCGUAGUGCCCUGGCUCGCCGCAGUGGAAGCACACUCGAGGAAGUGCCGGAGCCUGCUGCCCAGGAGGAGUGGGCGCUCCCUGCCUCUGAGCUGGUGGAGCCGGAGGCGCUGGAAGCCUCUGACCCUGUCCCGCCUGCUGCUGCUGCUGAGGACGAGGCGGAAGCUGCUGCCGCUGCUGGUACUGCUGGGGCGGCCUCUGCUGCUGCUGCUGCGGAGGGUACUGGUAGCGGGGACGGGUGUUGCUGCCCGAAGAGGAUGGAGCCAUCUUCCUCUUCUUGUCCUCAAUCUCCCGGCGCUUGCGCUCGGUGUUGAGGGCCGCAUCAACCAGCUGGUUGAAGUUGUCGAAGCAGUGGUUCAGCAGCGCAUACUGGAUGUGAUCAUCCAGCCCCUCCUUGAAGUACUCCUGCUUAUCGCUAUCACGAGCGACGUCAGCCGGGGCAUAGCGGGCAAGCUGCAGGAAACGGUCACGGUACUCCGUCACCGUCAUCGAUCCCUGAAAUGACAACACAGAUAACAAGGAUAGAAAUCGCUCAAUGCGUCAGGCUUACGAAAGAAAUCAAGGAUGGAUCAAGCUCAAAAGGAAUGGUAGAGAAUUCCGUUAAAUUUUACCUGCUUAAGAGCACGGAACUCCUUCUGCUUCAUCUUCAUGAUGCCCUCAGGAAUGUGAUGGUUCCUGAAACGCUCACGGAACUGGUCCCACGUGAGAGCGUCACGAUCCCGAGCUGGGUAGGACUCCCACCAGUCAAGAGCGGAACCUCGCAGCUGCCCUGCUGCGUACAGAACCCGCUCUCGGUCGUCGCACUGCGCAACAACCAACUGGCGCUCCACCGAACGAAGCCAGUCGUCCGCCUGGAGUGGGUCCGUGGCGUCAGAGAAAGUCGGCGGGUGACCUCUCAGGAAAUCCGCACGCCUGUCACGGGGCUGAGGCGGCGGAGGAGGCGGUGGCUGAGCAUGGAUCUGCUGCAGAGCCUGAACGGUGUUGUUCAGGGUCGCCAUCAUCUGCAUCUGGAGCUGGAAGAACUGCUCCGGGGUCAGUGGUGGUGGCAUCGGCAGCGGCUCACCAGUACCCUGGUUGUUCUGCUCCUGCUGGUCAGAAUCGGAACCGGUGCGCCUGGUGUUCACCAUCUGAUUGCAACAAACGAAAUUUAUGAGAAAAAGAUAGGGUGCAGCUGCGGAAAUGAACUUCGGAAGGAGAUGUCAGAAAGAAAGGAAUAUAGGUUUUACCCCCAACGUUCUAACUCAAUUUUAUUAUUUAGUUCAAGUUGGGUUAGGUCGAUUUGCAUGAACAAGUUUAACUACUAGCCUAUGCAGUCAACCAAAAAUCCAAAUCAAACAUUUGCACAAUAACAAACAUUCAAUAUUCACAACUUAGUCGAGUUUUCCACACUACUCGACUAACACACUCGUUCUAGCGUAUUUUCCAUCGGGACGGCCCUACUUAUAGCUUAUAAGACUAGGCGACUCAGGCCAACGUCUACGGAAAACUCAAGCUACUUCUCAGAAAAGGCGGGGAAACAGCAAAUAGAGGGCUUAAGACUCAAGGAAUAGAAGCAGAAUCAUGAUGGUUGAGGAUUUGCGGAGGCAAGCAAGAGAAAAGAAGUCCUAAACUCGACCAAUUCUACCUAGGCUUCGUCCUACAGUCGACACGGCUCUGAUACCAUUCUGUCACACCCGAUUUAUAAGAACGUAAAUCGAGCAAUCAUAUAUGCGCCAGGAUCAAGUCACGCAUAUAUACAACAGAUUAUCAAGAUAUCACAACACAUGCCACGAAUAAAAGCGUAUAAAUUAAUAAAUGAAUAUCUUUAUUACAACUGAAUCAAGAAUCAGUUCAAGGAAUGCGGAAGCGUAAAAUGAAUACAUGAAGAGCUGGGCGCCACAGGGACGUCGACUGGGAGACAAACGCCUAGAAGUCAUCGAAGCCGCUGACGUAGUCCUCCACGUUGCCGGGCACUGAGCAGCAGUCGAAGAUAUCCAAAAUAGAACAGAAGAGUAGAGAGGCAAGUGUGAGUACAAACUCGUACUCAACAAGUAUAACACGAGCAUGAGGCUCUAAGGUUAGCUGACUCAACUGCAUUAGCUUUUAACCUUGGCAAAUUUUAUUAAAGCUAAUUACUACAAGUGGAUGAGUUACCGUAACCCAAAUUGCAUAAGAAUUAAUCAAUAUUAAUUAAGAACUACUGAGAACCAUCCAAACCAAAACCACCCGGGGAAUCGCCCUCGUCAAAGGUUGAUAACCCCACUAAUCAAAAGGAGGAUCUGGGCCGCUCAUGACUGUGAGCACAGCUGAUAUAUCAGUUUUACACUCUCGAGAGGUUGCACAACUUUACCCACAAGUCGUGAGCUACGCUAGUUGUUCAUCACACUUCCUUAGGUGAGAUGGCUAGCAAGCACACUACGAGACCGUUACAAAGGAUCACGUUGGUAAGGUGUAACCGCUAAGGAUUCUGGAUCAGCGACGAUGGGGCCCACCUCCGGGGGUACAAGACACACAGCACAGACCAAGCCGGAGGAGCAGGGACCAUUGAAGCCUACCACCCCUCUUGCCCACGCAGGUAAGUUACUCCCGAACCAAAAUGACCUAAUUAGUAAGUCAAGACCGUCCCAUACCAGUCUUGUGGUUGCGCGGUUGUCCCAGGUUGUCGCUCUAUGAACCGGUCCUUAUGGAGAGUGGCCAACCAAGCACUAAGCACCGUGCUGGCCCCCUAAACCAGGUUUCUAACAAAAACAUCUUUUAAGGACGCACAAACCACUCAAGCACACAGCACAGAGGGUCGGCUCCAGAAUUAAGUUGCAUAAGACCAUUAAUCAAAUUAAUUAAAAAGGACCAAGUGUGUUAUAGCGCAGCAACCUAGCACAACUAACCACAAUGCAACCCAAAGGAUAUAUAUAUAGGAUAUAAAGUGGCUAGGAAAUCCUUAUAGGCAUACAGAAUUUAAAUGCAGUAUGAAAUUGUAUUUAAAAGUGAUAGGAGGUUCAUGCUAUACUUGCCUUCCUCGUACUCUCCCGGCUGCUGCUCAAACUGCUCGGAAGACGGCUGCUCCUGGUACUGGUCCAAAGGCUCCGCGUCUACUCACGAUCAUCAAACAUAGUCCACACAUACACACAUGCACAAACAAUAGCAAACUAUAAGAAAACAGUACACCAAUACAAUAGAACAGCAUAUGAAACUAGCCUAGAGCUAUCCUACGCGUUACAACGAUCGCGUGCACAUAAAGAACACCUAAAACGGAGCUAAAACGCGAAAACUGCGCUUAAAACAGGAUCCAGGGACCUAAUUGUAAGAAAAACAGCACUUCCAGGGGCUUCUGGACAAAAACCGAGGACUAAAACGUAAAUAAAGCAUAGACUCAGGGCUAGCACGUGAAAAGGCAUGGCUUGGACGGCGGGUUCAAAAUCCAGAGAAGCCAGGGGGUCAAACGGGAAGAAAAGGACCUGCCUGUAAUUUAUUUUUGAACUAAUAGGACUGCGGGUUGAUUUCCCCAAAAGGCAGGGGCUCUUUAGCAAAAAGGCUAGCUGAAAGGGUAUGAUUUAAUCUGGGCCCUCGGAUCAGAUCUGUGCGGCCCAGAUUAGAACCCAUACGCGAAGGGGUACGAGAUGAUCUCAGCCUUUGGAUCGAGAUCGGACGGUCGGGAACGGAUCUAGGUUUACAACUCGCGCGAUCCACCGGAUUUGAAUUGGACGGCUGAGAUUAGAUCUAUUAACCGAAGGGGUAUCCAUGGAUCUGGACGCUUGGAUUUGGAUCUGACGGCGCGAGCGAAACGGUACGCGGGUUCUGAUCUGACCCGUUGAUCGCGGAUCGGACGGCUGGAAACAGAAGGGGACGCGGCUGGUGGCGCUGCUCGCCGGAGAGCGGUCUCCGCGGCGGCGCCUCGCCGGAGACACGCGAUCACGCGUUCCCGGGGGCAUUUCACGACGAGAUCAAGCCUAGGGGGUAGAGCACAACGCGGGAAACCCAUCUAGGCGCUCCAGAAGGUGAGAUAGGGCUCGGGUAGAGGAUUCCCGCGGCAAGGGCGGCUCGGGGCGGCGGUCACGCCGGCGUGCGCGCGUUCCGGGUGCCACAGGCUGCUAAGGACUAAGGGAUCCGGCGCACAAGCACCUGGGGAAGGAGGGGAGGCUCACCAAAGGGUUGAAGAGGCCGGAACUGCAGUGGCAGUUGGAGGAGAACGACGGCGACCGACGGCGAGAAGGCUCGGCUCUCGCGGAGGGAGGUGGUGCCGGGGCUCGGGGGUUGACGCAGGGCCCUGAACAGCUACCUGAUGACGAGGUGGAGCUACCGCAGCUCUCGGCUUGGGCUGGGAGCCACCGGAGCUGUGGAUUUGCGGCGGAGCAGAGGUGGAGGAACGCGGCGGCGCAGAGGCUCGGGACGAGCGGGGCGCUAGGGUUAGAGGCGGCGCUGGUGGGGAUAGGUUCAAAGGAGGUCGCGGGGGAAUAAGAGGAGCAGGCCAGAGGUCCCGGGGUAGGGUUACGGCGGGGAGGGCCGGGGAUCUCGGCCGUGCCGUUGCGCGGCCGUUACGCCGGGGAAGGAAGAGAAGAGGGGGAACAGAGUGCUGACACGCCGGGACCAGCGGUCAGUGGGAGAGAGAGGGGAGGGCGCGCGAGCGGGAUGAGGAAGCGGCGCCGACACGCGGGCCCGGGUAAUCAGACAGAGAGAGGAGGGAAGGGGCGCUCGGGCUGGGAAAAGAAAGGAGACGGGCCGGCUGCUGGGCCGUGCGGGGAGGGGAGAGAGGGAAGGGCGCUGGGCCUCGAGUGGCCCAUGCGGGAAAGGAAGAGGGGGCCCGGGAUGGAAAGGGGAGAGAGGAGGGGAGGAGUGCUAGGCUGGGCUGCUGUUGGGUUGGCUUCUUUUAUCCUUUCUCUUUCUUUUCUACACUCAAACAUCCAAACAAACUCAUUUGAAUUCAAAUAAAUUUUGAAUUCGAGUCCUAUAAACUCAACACAAGCAAAAAUAGUGCUCCAGCAUGAGUGCACAUACAUGUUGACCUUAUGUUAAAUUUUAUUUUCUUGCGUUGUAAAUUGCUUUAAAUGCCACAAAAAUUAAAGAAAAGCUUAGAAAAUUUAUUUAAGCCCACAUAAAUUCCUCAAAAUUUAGGAAAAUUACCUUAGGGUGUUACACUAUCCGCAAUUAUUUUUGAACUACGGGUGGACUGCGGGUUGAUUCCAGAAAAACCCGAGGGCUCUUUAGCAAAAAGUCUGGCUGAAGCGGUACGUUUUAAUCUGGAUCGUUGGAUCAUGAUCUGACGGCUCGGAUUAGAUCGGUCUCGCGAAGGGGUACGCACGACUCUCACCCGUCGGAUCCAGAUCCGAUGCUCACGACCUAUACCUAAAUGGAUCUAAUCCAGAUCGCCCGUUCUACAUCUGACGGCUCUGAUCCACUCCUACCCCGAACCGGUACGCGCCGCUUGGAUCCCUUGGAUCUCGAUCGCACGGCUCAGACCUGCCCUGGCUUGAUCUAAUCGUGGGCGUUGGUUCUGGAUCGGAUGGCUGGGGCUAUUGGGCGCUCGGGCGGCGGCACUGGUCGCCGGAGUUCGGCUCCCGCGGCGGCACUACGCCGGCGAUGGCCGAUCUUGGCCGUCCAGCCUUCAUCCGGGACGAUGUCAAGGCUGGGAGGAUGCUGGCUGCACGUGCAAUGCCUCUAGGUGAUUAGUGCGGCGGAUUGGGGCUCGGGUAGGUGCUCCCCGCGGCAAGGCGGCUCGGGUUCAUGGCUGCAAGGAGGAUGCGCACGCGCAGAGGGGAAAAAGGGACAAGAACGGGCGUGGCGUGCUCCUUACCACUCCGGGGUGCUGCGACAGUGGUUGGAGACCGGGGAUUGAGGGCGCCGGUGUGGUGUCGCGGUGGCGCAGAAGCUCGGUCGGUGGCGGCGGCUCCAAUCCGAGGGCAGUGCAGCGGCGCAAGGCCACGAGGAAAAGUGGGAGAGGUGGAUGCGGCUAAGGAGGAGCGCGAGAGAGCUGCGGCUAAGAAGGGCGAGGGGUUGGCAGCCUCGGCGUGCGGAUCGCGGCAACGGAUCCCGUACCCUUCGCGGCCGUUGCGGUUCACCCACAUCCGAUCGCGGCCGGGUUUCUAGAAGGGUCCAGGUGGGGAAAUGGGUUCGGCGUGCGGCUCGCGAAAGGGCCCAGAGGCGCGGCAGGGAGGGGCCACGGCCAGUGGCCGAGCGGCCGGCCGGCGGGGGAGAACAGGGGAGGGGGAAAGGAAGGAGGGGGAAGGAGCUGACUUGUGGGGCCACCUCGUCAGUGAGAGAAGAGAGGAAGGGCGCGUGGGGUGGUCGGGCUGGGGAAAACGGGCCAGCGUGCGGCCCACGCGGGGGAAAACAGGGGAAAGAAGAGAGAGGGCCCGAGGGAGGAAAUGGGCCAGGGGAAGAGAAAGCCCGCGAGGGAGAGAGGGAGAGAGGAAGCUGGGCCAGGCCAAGGGAAAGGUUUGGGCUGCCUUCUUUUAUUCCUUCCCUUUUCCCUUUUCUUUUUCUUUACUCUAACCAUUCAAACAAAGCCAUUUGAAUUCAAACAAAUUUGAAUUCAAACCUAGCACAAAUAAAACAAUGCACCAGCAUGAAUGCACAAGCAAGUUGAUCUUAUAGUUAAUUUUAUUUUCUUGUGUUAUAAGAUUACUUUAAAUGCAAGAUAAACUAGGAAAACGCUGGAGAAUUUAUUUAAGGCCAACACAAAUUCAUUAAAAUUGGGGAAAAAUACCUUAGGGUGUUACAAACCUACCCCCCUUACAGGAAUCUCGUCCCGAGAUUCGAAUAGGCUAGCUAGCAAAGAGAUCGGGGUAUGUCUUCCUCAGCUCAUCUUCUCGCUCCCAAGUAGCCUCAUCCUCCGUGUGAUGACUCCACUGAACACGGCACAUCUUGAUCUUCUUGUUUCUGGUAACUCUCUCAGACAUCUCCAGAAUCUUCACCGGAUGCUCAAUAUAGGUCAGGUCCUCCUGCACAUCCAACCCUUCUAUCGGUGCUUGUUCUUCUGGCACUCUUAAGCACUUCUUCAGCUGAGACACGUGGAACACAUCGUGCACUCCUGAGAGAUUAAGAGGCAACUCCAAACGAUAUGCCACCUCACCUUUCCUUUCCAGCACCUUGAACGGACCAAUGUAUCGAGGAGCUAGCUUUCCUCUUACAUUAAACCUGCGGAUUCCUCUCAUCGGCGAGACCUUCAGGUACACAUGGUCACCCACUGCAAAGGUCAAAUCCCGACGACGAGCGACCCUCAGAUUCUCGCGCACCUGCUGUACCAACUGUUCUGCCUCUUCAACAAUAUCUGGACCAAAUACCUGCCUCUCGCCAAUCUGAUCCCAAUACAGUGGAGUCCUGCACUUUCGACUGUACAAGGCCUCGAAAGGGGAUUUCUUCAGACUGGCCUGAUAACUGUUGUUAUACGAAAACUCUGCAUACGGCAGGCAUUUAUCCCAGCUGGUACCAUACUAGAUAGCACAGGCUCGAAGCAUAUCUUCCAACACUUGGUUGGUUCUCUCUGUCUGCCCAUCUGUCUGAGGAUGAUAAGCCGUACUGAAGCGCAGCUUUGUAUCCAACGAAUCAUGCAACUGCUCCCAGAACCGUGAAGUGAACUGAGAUCCUCGAUCAGAUAUAAUCUUCUUCGGAACACCAUGCAGACAUACAAUCCUGGAGAUGUACAACUCUGCGAGUCUAGCGCCGGAGUAAGUAGUGUUCACCGGAAUGAAGUGGGCAACCUUCGUCAACCGAUCCACUACUACCCAUAUGGAGUUGUACCCUUUCUGAGUACGAGGCAAGCCAACGAUGAAAUCCAUAGUGAUCUCCUCCCAUUUCCACUCUGGAAUCUUCAACGGCUGCAAUAACCCUGCUGGCCUCUGAUGCUCUGCCUUGACACGCUGACAAGUGUCACAGAUAGCCACGUACUCCGCAACGGAACGCUUCAUUCCAUACCACCAGAAUCGUUCCUUCAGGUUGUAAUACAUCUUCGUACUGCCUGGAUGGAUAGAAUAUGCCGUAUCAUGAGCCUCACUUAGAAUCAACUUUCUGAGAUCUUUCACAUCCGGCACACAUAUACGACCCUUGUACCACAAGGUACCCUAGUCAUCCUCUCUGAAAUGAGGUGCUUUGCCAAUCUUGAGCAACUCACGAAUUUCCUACAGCUUCUUAUCAUCUUUCUGAUGCUGCCUGAUCUCUGCCUCUAGAGUAGGUUCUGCCUCGAAUGAUGUACCCGAGGUGCGAUGCAAGAAACCCAGACUCAACUGCUCAAACUCCUCACAUAACUCCUGAGGCAUCUGAAAAGCCAUGGCCAUGUUAACAUAGCUCUUCCUGCUCAGAGCAUCUGCUACAACAUUAGCCUUGCCCGGAUGAUAGUGAAUCUCCAGGUCGUAAUCCUUGACCAACUCUAGCCAUCUUCUCUGCCGCAUGUUCAGCUCACUCUGGGUGAAGAUAUACUUGAGGCUCUUGUGAUCGGUGUAAAUAUCACACCUCUGCCCAAACAAGUAAUGCCUCCAUAUCUUCAGAGCAUGCACAACUGCGGCCAACUCCAGAUCAUGAGUGGGAUAAUUUAGCUCGUGCCGACGCAACUGCCGCGAGGCAUAAGCUAUCACUCUGCCUUCCUGCAUUAGGACGCAACCAAGACCAUCCCUCGAAGCAUCACAAUACACUGUGAACUUCUUGCUCUGGUCUGGCAGAGUAAGGACUGGCGCCGUAGUCAACCUCAUCUUUAGCUCCUCGAAGGCAUUCUAAAAAACGAGUUGAAGGAGUCGGUUUUAUUAGCGGAGAAGAAGCUGUAAAUUGGGGCUUAUCGGGCCCAAUGUUACGAGCUUCUGGAACACAAUGGGAUCUUCGUAAAAUUGAUCCUUAUGAGUCUUAUAAUCAAUUUGAUUGGAAAGUACAAUGGCAAAAAGAAGGAGAUUCGUUAGCUCGCUAUUUAGUACGAAUCGGUGAAAUGAGGGAAUCCAUAAAAAUUAUUCAACAAGCUGUAGGGAAAAUUCCGGGAGGACCUUAUGAGAAUUUAGAAGCCCGACGCUUUAAGAAAGCAAAGAAUUCCGAAUGGAAUGAUUUUGAAUAUCGAUUUCUUGGUAAAAAGCCUUCGCCCAAUUUUGAAUUAUCAAAGCAAGAGCUUUAUGUAAGAGUAGAAGCUCCAAAAGGUGAGUUAGGAAUUUAUCUGGUAGGAGAUGAUAGUCUUUUCCCCUGGAGAUGGAAAAUUCGUCCACCUGGUUUUAUUAAUUUGCAAAUUCUUCCUCAGCUAGUUAAAAAAAUGAAAUUGGCUGAUAUCAUGACGAUAUUAGGUAGUAUAGAUAUCAUUAUGGGGGAAGUUGAUCGUUGAAAUGAUAAUAGAGGUAGAAACUAUCAAUUCUUUUUCGAAAUCGGAAUUAUUAAAAGAAGUCUACGGACUGAUAUGGAUUCUACCCAUUUUGACCCUCCUACUGGGAAUCACAAUACAAGUACUCGUAAUUGUGUGGUUAGAAAGAGAAAUAUCCGCAUCGAUACAACAACGUAUUGGUCCUGAAUAUGCUGGCCCCCUGGGACUGCUUCAAGCUAUAGCAGAUGGAACUAAGCUACUUUUAAAAGAGGAUAUCCUCCCAUCCUGAGGAGAAAUUCCUUUAUUUAGCAUUGGUCCCUCUAUAGCAGUCAUAUCCAUUUUAUUAAGUUUUUUAGUUAUCCCUUUGGGAUAUCGUUUUGUUUUAGCUGAUCUUAGUAUUGGUGUUUUUUUAUGGAUUGCCAUUUCAAGUAUUGCUCCUAUUGGUCUUCUCAUGGCGGGAUAUAGUUCAAAUAAUAAAUAUUCUUUUUCAGGCGGUCUACGAGCGGCUGCUCAAUCUAUUAGUUAUGAAAUACCAUUAACUUUUUGUGUGCUAGCAAUAUCUCUACGUGUGAUUCGUUAAAAUAGGAUCGUUUUCCUCUAAAAUACAUUGAAUGCUUAUCUUCCUUUGCUUAUUCUGUAUUCGGGUUGGUAAGUUAAACUAGAUAGCUAUAUGAGUGAAACAAAACAGCUUAUUAAUUUGUAGUAAAAAUACAAAAUCUCAUUUCCUACGUACAAGAAAAAAGUUCAAGUAAACAUAAGCAGUGUAAACUCUUUACCCCAAGGUUGAGAUUGUUUGAUUAGUCAUCAUAUCUUGAAGCGGGCAAGAAUAAAGGAUUCGCGAUAUGGAAUUCCAUUACUAGAAUAUUUUGAGUUAUUACUAUAACUUAUAACCAUAAGGCAAUCCCUCAAAAGUUAGUGAGGGGUUAGAAACACUAAAGUACAUACAGGAUUAGUAAUGAGAGAAUCUCAAUUUUGAGAUAUUUUUCCUCAUAAAAGGAAUCGUAAUAAGGACUUGAAAUUGGUGGAAAUGAUCAAGUAGUACUUUCUUCGGAUUCCGGUCUAGAGUAUGUUCCCAUUCACUUGUUAAAGAAAUGGCUAUCGAGAACGAAUUAACCCUUUAUUCUUUUUUCUUUUUAAGCAUACCCUUCCCCGGGAAAGAAGAAUAGGACAAAAGAUAUGGAAUGCAAUACAAAAAAAAAAGGGAUCUUUAUUUAUUCUUUCCUUCCUUUAUCCCUAUUCAUACAGAAUUCCUCAUGAACUAAUACCCAAUUCUUUCCAUUUAUUAAUUGCUAUAACGAGUGUUUUAUUCCAAUAUUAAGUUAUUACCGAACAAAGAAAAAUUAUAUAUAAAGGAUGAGAUCAAUUCAGAAGCACUUUUUUUUUAUUCUAGCAGACGGAAUUGCUUUGGUCUAAUUUGGGGCUUUCCAAUCAAUUUUCUCUUACCUAAUUCUAUCUACGCCCAGGGGAUAAUACCGAAAUGAAACAAUACUUUCCCUUUUUUAUGAUCAUAGAGGAGCCGUAUGAAGCUAAGGUUUCAUGUACGGUUUUGGAAUAGCGGUGGGAACUGUGAUGUUAUCACCGACUAUGAUUAUCUAACAGUUCAAGUACAGUUGAUAUAGUUGAAGCACAGUCCAAAUAUGGUUUUUUUGGAUGGAAUCUUUGGCGUCAGCCUAUAGGUUUUCUAGUUUUUCUAAUUUCUUCUUUGGCAGAAUGUGAAAGAUUACCCUUUGAUUUACCAGAAGCGGAAGAAGAAUUAGUAGCAGGUUAUCAAACCGAAUAUUCUGGUAUUAAAUAUGGUUUAUUUUAUCUUGCUUCUUACCUAAAUUUAUUAGUUUCCUCUUUAUUUGUAACUGUUCUAUACUUAGGCGGGUGGAAUUUAUCUAUUCCCUAUAUAUCCUUUUUUGGAUUUUUCCAAAUGAAUAAAAUGAUUGGAAUUUUGGAAAUGAUAAUAGGUAUCUUUAUUACAUUAACUAAAGCUUAUUUAUUUCUCUUUAUUUCUAUCACAAUAAGAUGGACUUUACCCAGGAUGAGAAUGGAUCAGUUAUUAAAUCUUGGAUGGAAAUUUCUUUUACCUAUUUCUCUGGGCAAUCUCUUAUUAACAACUUCUUCCCAACUAGUUUCACUAUAAAUAAGACAAUAGAAUAAGAGUAAGAAUAUUUUCAACACAAAAGUUCUCUCAAACAAGAGAAAGAAACAUACCUUUUUCAUAUAUAUUUAGAAUAUGUUCCCUAUGCUAACUGGGUUCAUUAGUUAUGGUCAACAAACAAUACGCGCCGCAAGAUACAUUGGUCAAGGUUUCAUAAUUACCUUAUCCCACACAAAUCGUUUACCUAUAACGAUUCACUACCCUUAUGAAAAAUCAAUUACAUCGGAGCGUUUCCGGGGGCGAAUACACUUUGAAUUUGAUAAAUGCAUUGCUUGUGAAGUAUGUGUUCGCGUAUGCCCGAUAGAUCUACCUCUUGUGGAUUGGAGAUUUGAAAAGGAUAUUAAAAGGAAACAAUUGCUUAAUUAUAGUAUUGAUUUCGGAGUUUGUAUAUUUUGUGGUAACUGUGUUGAAUACUGUCCGACAAAUUGUUUAUCGAUGACUGAAGAAUAUGAACUUUCUACUUAUGAUCGUCAUGAAUUGAAUUACAAUCAAAUUGCUUUGAGUCGGUUACCAAUCUCGAUAAUGGGAGAUUACACAAUUCAAACAAUUAGGAAUUCGCCUCAAAGUAAAAUAGACGAAGAAAAAUCUUGGAAUUCAAGAACGAUUACUGAUUACUAGGUAUUAGGAUUUUUUUUGUCAGAAAAAUCCAUUUUUACUAACUAUAACGAAAAAAGAAUAAUUACUGUUUAACAACUUAUAUACAUAUACAAAAAAAUAUCCUAAUAUCUUUUUCCUUCCUUGAAUCUUUUAGUUUUAGUCAGUUCAUGAAAAAUUUUAUACUAUAAAUUUCUUCUUAUCCAUAAUGGAUUUACCUGGACCAAUACAUGAGAUUCUUGUGCUAUUUGGGGAAUUUGUUCUUCUACUAGGGGGUCUAGGAGUAGUAUUACUUACCAACCCAAUUUAUUCUGCCUUUUCACUGGGAUUAGUUCUUGUUUGUAUAUCCUUAUUCUAUUUUUUAUUGAAUUCCUACUUUGUAGCUGUCGCACAACUUCUUAUUUAUGUGGGAGCCAUAAAUGUCUUGAUCAUAUUUGCUGUAAUGUUUGUAAACGGCUCAGAGUGGUCUAAAGAUAAGAAUUAUUGGACUAUUGGAGAUGGGUUUACUUUACUCCUUUGUAUAACUAUUCCUUUUUCACUAAUGACUACUAUCCCAGAUACGUCGUGGUAUGGAAUUCUUUGGACGACAAGAUCAAACCAAAUAGUAGAACAGGGUCUCAUAAAUAACGUUCAACAAAUUGGGAUUCAUUUAGCAACCGAUUUUUAUCUUCCGUUUGAACUCAUUUCCCUAAUUCUUCUAGUUUCUUUAAUAGGUGCAAUUACUAUGGCUCGACAAUAAGAAAUACUUAGAAUUUCAAAUAAAAAAUAAAUAACUAAAGAAUCACAAUUUUGAUUUAGUAAAACCCAUCUACUGCCAACACAACAAAUACCUUCUUUUCUCUUUUGUUGCGUAAUUGUUCUAUUCUAAUUAAUUGAAUCGGUUCAAUUCUUGUCCUCAGAUUGAAAUGAAUCGAGAUUGAUAAGGAGUUAGUUAAUGAUGUUUGAGCAUGUACUCUUUUUGAGUGUCUAUUUAUUUUCGAUUGGUAUCUAUGGAUUGAUCACAAGCCGAAACAUGGUUAGAGCUCUAAUAUGUCUUGAACUUAUACUGAAUUCAAUUAAUCUAAAUCUCGUAACAUUUUCUGAUCUAUUUGAUAGUCGCCAAUUAAAAGGAGACAUUUUCGCAAUUUUUGUUAUAGCCCUUGCGGCUGCUGAAGCAGCUAUUGGACUAUCCAUUCUUUCUUCCAUCCAUCGUAACAGGAAAUCAACUCGUAUCAAUCAAUCUAAUUUUUUGAAUAAUUAGACAUAGAAUCCUCUAAACAAAGGCGCAUAUAUAAUAAUACAGAACAUUAAGAUGAAUAGAAAUCUAAUCUUAUUUUUUUAUUAGUGUUUAAUAAUAUCCAUUUUUUGAGUAGGUUAUUUCAGAGUAUUCUUUUUUACUUAUUGAAUAUUGAAUUUUUGCAAUUCAUUGAUAUUGCAAUUUGAAUAUUGCAAUAAUUUAUAUUGAAAAGAUGAUACCGAGUUUAUUGGCUAAUUCGAAUUAGUAUGUAGAAUUCAUAUAAUUAUGACUGUUGAAGUCUUAAAUUCAAGUCUCUUGGCUCUUUUCACGCUUUCUCACAAACAGAUUAAGAAAUAUAUUGCAUUAUUUGUUAAAGUUUGGAUAAACCAUUGCUUCGUCUGGUGUCUACAAUACAUCUAAUUUAUUCGACAAUACAUUUAAUUUAUAUAGUACUAAUUUCAUUUUUACCAGAUCGAAAAUUUUUAUGUUGAAAAGGAAAAUUUAGAGAUCCAAUGUCACAUUCUGUAAAAAUUUAUGAUACAUGUAUAGGAUGCACUCAAUGUGUACGAGCUUGUCCAACAGAUGUAUUAGAAAUGAUACCUUGGGAUGGAUGUAAAGCCAAGCAAAUUGCUUCCGCGCCGAGAACCGAAGAUUGUGUGGGUUGUAAGAGAUGCGAAUCCGCCUGCCCAACAGAUUUUUUAAGUGUCCGCGUUUAUUUAGGGCCUGAAACAACCCGCAGCAUGGCUCUAUCUUAUUGAUACGUUACAAAAAACUCCACUUGAAUCGUCUGAUUCCUCUUUACCGAAGAAGCCUGUGCUCGAAAUAAUCGAGCAUGGGCUUUUCUGGUCAAAACGUAUCUUGUCUUUAUUACUUUAUCAUGAGUUAUUUUCCUUGGUUAACAAUACUUGUUGUUUUGCCGAUAUUUGCAGGUUCAUUAAUUUUCUUUUUACCUCAUAAAGGAAAUAAAAUCGUUAGGUGGUAUACUAUAUCUAUUUGUUUAUUAGAAUUCCUUCUAAUGACUUAUGCAUUCUGUUAUCAUUUCCAAUUGGAGGAUCCCUUAAUCCAAUUAAAGGAAGAUUUAAAAUGGAUAGAUGUUUUGGAUUUCCACUGGAGAUUGGGAAUCGAUGGACUUUCAUUAGGAUCUAUUUUAUUGACAGGAUUUAUCACUACUUUAGCUACUUUAGAGGCUUGGCCGGUUACCCGGAAUUCGCGAUUAUUCUAUUUCCUGAUGCUAGCAAUGUAUAGCGGUCAAAUAGGAUUAUUCUCUUCACGAGACCUUUUACUUUUUUUAUCAUGUGGGAGUUAGAAUUAAUCCCUGUUUACUUACUUUUAUCCAUGUGGGGGGGAAAGAGGCGUCUGUAUUCAGCUACCAAGUUUAUUUUGUAUACUGCAGGCGGUUCCAUUUUUUCUUAAUUGGAGUUCUGGGUAUGGGGUUAUAUGGUUCCAAUGAACCCGGAUUAGAUUUGGAAAGAUUGAUUAAUCAAUCAUACCCUGCAACAUUGGAAAUACUACUGUAUUUUGGCUUCCUUAUUGCUUAUGCUGUCAAAUUGCCGAUUAUACCUCUACAUACGUGGUUACCAGAUACCCAUGGGGAAGCGCAUUACAGUACAUGUAUGCUUUUAGCCGGAAUUCUAUUAAAGAUGGGAGCAUACGGAUUGAUUCGGAUCAAUAUGGAAUUGUUACCUCAUGCUCAUUAUCUAUUUUCCCCCUGGUUGGUAAUAAUAGGAGCGGUGCAAAUAAUCUAUGCAGCUUCAACUUCUCUUGGUCAACGAAAUUUCAAAAAAAGAAUAGCCUACUCCUCCGUAUCUCAUAUGGGUUUCAUAAUUAUAGGAAUUGGUUCCAUAACCAACAUUGGACUAAAUGGAGCUCUUUUACAAAUAUUAUCCCAUGGAUUUAUCGGUGCUACACUUUUUUUCUUGGCGGGAACAGCUUGUGAUAGAGUGCGUCUUGUUUAUCUCGAAGAACUGGGGGGAAUAUCUAUUCCAAUGCCAAAAAUUUUUACCAUGUUUAGUAGCUUUUCAAUGGCCUCUCUUGCCUUGCCAGGAAUGAGCGGUUUUGUUGCAGAAUUAGUAGUAUUUUUUGGACUAAUUACUAGUCCGAAAUUUAUGUUAAUGCCAAAAAUGCUAAUUACUUUUGUAAUGGCAAUUGGAAUGAUAUUAACUCCUAUUUAUUUAUUAUCUAUGUUACGCCAGAUGUUCUAUGGAUACAAGCUAUUUCAUGUUCCAAACGAAAAUUUUGUGGAUUCUGGACCACGGGAACUAUUUCUUUUAAUCUGUAUCUUUUUACCAGUAAUAGGAAUUGGUAUUUAUCCAGAUUUUGUUCUCUCGCUAUCCGUUGACAGGGUAGAGGCUCUAUUAUCCAAUUAUUAUCCUAAAUAGGAUUUUCUUUUUUUAACUAGUCCGCUCUAUAUUCCAUCGUGGAAAAAAAUGCCAUAGUGGAAAAAACAUAAAAUUCGUAAAAAAGGAAAAAAGUCUAAUUAGAUCUAUCUCGAAUUUUUGAGAACCCUUUGAAAAGAUGUUCAAGGGGUUCUCAAAUCAAACAAAAAAGGAAAAAACUUCAU
rnacentral:lncRNA from 1 species